rnacentral:rRNA from 1 species
UAGGGAAUCUUCGGCAAUGGACGAAAGUCUGACCGAGCAACGCCGCGUGAGUGAAGAAGGUUUUCGGAUCGUAAAACUCUGUUGUUAGAGAAGAACAAGGACGUUAGUAACUGAACGUCCCCUGACGGUAUCUAACCAGAAAGCCACGGCUAACUACGUGCCAGCAGCCGCGGUAAUACGUAGGUGGCAAGCGUUGUCCGGAUUUAUUGGGCGUAAAGCGAGCGCAGGCGGUUUCUUAAGUCGGAUGUGAAAGCCCCCGGCUCAACCGGGGAGGGUCAUUGGAAACUGGGAGGCUUGAGUGCAGAAGAGGAGAGUGGAAUUCCAUGUGUAGCGGUGAAAUGCGUAGAUAUAUGGAGGAACACCAGUGGCGAAGGCGGCUCUCUGGUCUGUAACUGACGCUGAGGCUCGAAAGCGUGGGGAGCAAACAGG